rnacentral:rRNA from 1 species
UACGUAGGAUGCUAGCGUUGUCCGGAUUUACUGGGCGUAAAGCGCGCGCAGGCGGCACUGUAAGUAAGGUGUGAAAUAUCCCUGCUCAACGGGGAGGGUGCACUUUAGACUGCAGAGCUAGAGGACGGUAGAGGGGGGUGGAAUUGCUGGUGUAGCGGUGAAAUGCGUAGAGAUCAGCAGGAACACCCGUGGCGAAGGCGGCCCCCUGGGCCGAACCUGACGCUGAGGCGCGAAAGGCUAGGGGAGCGAACGGGG